rnacentral:rRNA from 1 species
AUACCGGAUAAGCCACAUAUGCUGGAAUGCUUUGUGGCUCAAAGCUCCGGCGUCCAAGGAUGGGUCUGCGGCCUAUCAGGGUAGUAGUGGGUGUAAUGUACCUACUAGCCUACGACGGGUACGGGUUGUGAGAGCAAGAGCCCGGAGAUGGAUUCUGAGACACGAAUCCAGGCCCUACGGGGUGCAGCAGGCGCGAAAACUUUACAAUGCGGGAAACCGCGAUAAGGGAAUCUCGAGUGCCAGCAUAUAAUGUUGGCUGUCCAGAUGCCUAAAAAGCAUUUGUUAGCAAGGGCCGGGCAAGACCGGUGCCAGCCGCCGCGGUAACACCGGCGGCCCGAGUGGUAACCGUUAUUAUUGGGUCUAAAGGGUCUGUAGCCGGCCGAAUAAGUCUCUUGGGAAAUCUGGCAGCUUAACUGUCAGGCAGUCAGGGGAUACUGUUCGGCUUGGGACCGGGAGAGGUGAGAGGUACUUCGGGGGUAGGGGUGAAAUCUUGUGAUCCUCGAGGGACCACCAGUGGCGAAGGCGUCUCACCAGAACGGGUCCGACGGUAAGGGACGAAAGCUAGGGGCACGAACCGGAUUAGAUACCCGGGUAGUCCUAGCCGUAAACGAUGCUUG